ACUUAAGGUCAUACCACCCUAAACAUGCCUGAUCUUGCCUGAUCUCAGAAGCUAAGCAGGGUUGGGCCUAGUUAUACAUCAAUGAAAGAAAAUUACAAGCUCCAAGACAUGCCAUUCUAAUACCAGGAACUUCCAGAC
rnacentral:rRNA from 1 species